GGUUCUAUCCUGUGAAGAAUUUGGGACGAGCUGUUCGGCUGCUCAGUGCAACUCAGGUAGAGUUCCAACCCACUCAGUCCCCUUUGAACCUGAACAAAAAAAAAGGUAUCUUUUUACUCAAAAUCACAAACCCCUCUCUGCACUAGAGACUUGGUGAAUCUGUCUCACACUGGCCCUCCCAACCUAGGCUUAUAACAUCCGUCCAAUUCUUAUUACAAAGCCCCACAACAUUUUUACAAACACAUACCAGUUUAGUUUACCUUACGGAAUCCUCCCCAAAAUUGACGACACUUAGUGUUCCAUAUUUGGCGCUAGAACGCUGACAUUUUUAUAUUUAAGUAUACUAAAAAUACAACAUUUAAUUGACAAACAAAAAAAUAAUUUAUGUUACACUAAAAAAAUCUCAGAGACCUACAAAGUCCAAAGGUUUGCCCAUUUGUUGGCCGUAAAUCUAACGAAAAAUUUCCUGCCUAAAAGAGCUCACUUAGGCUAGUAAUGAGAUGGUUCAUUCGUACCAAAAAAUCCUAUUUAAAAACAAAUGACUUUGUAUAUCCCAUCUAACAUUUUUUUUACCUAUACUAACGAUACAAAUACACAAUCUACUAUUAAAACUUAAAAUUAGAUAUAUUAAAAUUCAAUCCUUAUACCUAACUUAGAUUAUCUCCUUCUCUCCUUCCCUUGUUGCUACUAUCUUGCUCUUUUAUAUAUAUAUAUAUAUUUUUUUUUUUGAUACGCGUGAUUUUGUUUUGAUUCUUUAGUUUCAGUAUAUUUUUUUAUCUGAAUAUCAGAAGGUACUUUUACGAUUAAUUUUAUUGUCCUUAACUUUUUCCGUCUUCUCUCAGGACCUGUUUCACUUCUUCAAUUCUUUAUAACUCUGAUUUUGAGUCCUUUUUCGGCUAUGGUGGAACUUUUAUUCGGAUCUUCGGGUAUCAAACACCAUCCACAAAAAUGAAGCCCUUCGGUCAGUCUUAGUGCAAGACUUCUUAGGUAGUCUCUUGGUGCGGUGUGAUUUGUUUAAAAGGGUGCUUUAUCUCCCAGCCCUGUGUUUCUUAUUUCCUGGGUAACGACUCUGUGGUCACUCGCUCACUCAGGCAAUUUUCAUUUAAAAAAUAUUUAAUAUAUCCUUUUACUUUUAUUUUCAGCA